CUUUGUUAGAAUUUAUUUGUAGUUGUGCAAUUAGUGGACGCAGAUAAAUCGCAAUUGCCGAUAAUGUUUAUAUCCUAUUAGAUCAUUUGUUUUUAGCUUGUCUAAGUAAUACGGUUUAACGGAUUUUAUGCGUUUCCGGUACACGAAUAUUAUGUUAGAGUCUUAAAAAAAGCGCGACGAAAAACAUUAUUUGACUGUACGUUUUAGUCACAGAUACAAAUAUGUAUGUACAUGCAUGUUUAUUCUUAAGACCUGACGGGUAAUUAUAGUUUUUUUUUUUUUUUUCAUUUUUUCCCGUACAAGUCGAUCGAACAAUGGAAAAGUACACGCUCAGUAGGUCUUCAGCGAAAAAAGUUCGGCCGUUCCGGAUGUACACUGUACGGCUAUUGUCGGGGCCACCACUAGCCGGCUGGGGAGCCAAAAUAGUGCGAGAGACGUAGUCUCGGGUCGACCCCGAGUGCCCCCGAGGUUGUGGCGCCUAAGCUCGGCUGAAACGCGGUGGCUGUGGGACUGACCGG